GAACGGGUGAGUAACACGUGGGCAAUCUGCCCUGCACUCUGGGACAAGCCCUGGAAACGGGGUCUAAUACCGGAUACUGAUCAUCUUGGGCAUCCUUGAUGAUCGAAAGCUCCGGCGGUGCAGGAUGAGCCCGCGGCCUAUCAGCUUGUUGGUGAGGUAACGGCUCACCAAGGCGACGACGGGUAGCCGGCCUGAGAGGGCGACCGGCCACACUGGGACUGAGACACGGCCCAGACUCCUACGGGAGGCAGCAGUGGGGAAUAUUGCACAAUGGGCGCAAGCCUGAUGCAGCGACGCCGCGUGAGGGAUGACGGCCUUCGGGUUGUAAACCUCUUUCAGCAGGGAAGAAGCGAAAGUGACGGUCCCUGCAGAAGAAGCGCCGGCUA
rnacentral:rRNA from 1 species